AUGUCCCCUCCAUCCACCAACAAAAUCUUCUUCGUAUCGUCCAUCUGCUUUAUGUACUGCACAAUGUUUUUCGUCUUGUGGCUAGGGACUUCUAAGUCCUCAAAGAUGCAGAGCUACAAUAAAACAUGGUCAAGUGAACUUUACAUGCAUACAAAUUUACUGCAAAGAAUGGUUUCAAAUGGAGAGAUCCAGACUGACUCUUGUAUACAUAUAUUUGCGUUCAGGAUAACAGAUGGUCAAGUUUCCUUUGCCACUUUGUGUGCUCGAGAAUUUUUGGGAGCAGCACCAGAAGAAAAAAAACAUCGCAUAAACAAAUUUAUUGUUACACAUUACUUAAUAGAUUUCAAUAGCUUUCAAUCUUUCAAGAAGCCAUGGAAACAAUACCAGCUGAAUAUUACAUCUCAUAAGCAACAACCCUAA
rnacentral:rRNA from 1 species